UAAUUUUUAAUUAAAAUUUUUUGUGUUAAUUGUUUUAUCAUCUAUGAACAAACCGAACAAAUUAUAGUGAUUUAAUUACUUUAAUUUGAAAUCUAAAGUAGUGAAAAAAACUAAAGUUUUUCGCCACCAGAUUGCGCCACGUCAUCAGAAAAACAUAGGCCGUCCGAUUGCCCCUACAGAUGAUGUGAGCUGUUGGAUUCAUUGAUUGGCAAAAUCUUUCGCAAUAAGAUCCUUCCACCUCCCUAGUAUUACCAUUUUUCAUUUUCACCCCUGCUACCUGGAUCUGUUGCGACACCGUCUCGGGAGGCCGCCUCCCCUUCCCUGGUCGCUACGCCGCCCCCACUCCCGGGACCGGGAGGCGGAGGUGCUAGAUUGUGUGCUAGUCCCAUCUCCAAAGCCGCUAUGUCUCCUCCCAAUCUCCACCACAUCAAUGGGGACCGGAGAGGUAAGAAGAAGAGCCUGCAGUGGGAAGCAAAGGAAUCCAUACCUCCCCUUUCUCCGCUUCCACCUCCCCCUGCCCUAGCCACACCCCAUCCUAUUCCUCCUCAUUCCCAUCCCCAACACUACUGCGGCAUCACCUCCUCCUACCUGUUCUGGAUCCGGCGAUGGUGGGGCUGAUUCGGAUUCGGGAGGACCUACUCUGCAGCGCCACUUCUCCAAUGACGAUGGCCAAGGGAAAUACAAAAAGUCCCAACAUCGACAGCUGUGGUAAGUAUCUAAACUCCUUGCUCCUUACGGUGUUCGUCUUGGUAAAGCAUGUACGAUGUACAGGAACCACGGCUUCACCUAGUGCUAAGAAGUUGAUUUAGACUAAAAAGGUGAUCAAUAAGUUCUAUAAUGGAGUCCUUAAUUAAGCCUCUCAUGUAAUUUCAGUUUUUGGGUGGGCAAAUUUCAUUUAAGAGCACUGUAAAAAGAAUGCAUCCUAUCAAAAUGUAACUUCAGGUUCAUUAAUUAUAAAUAGUUACAUACAAUUAUUUCAAUAGUUAUCAAAGAUAUGUGUGAUAACAAAUGAAUUUAUAAGUGGAUUGAAAUAGUAUUUUCCUCCGGAUGCCCAACGUCCAACUCACUGAAUCAAUUCGAUGGCAGUGGUUCACCGGGAUAUAACUAAUACUAAUAAUUUCCCGAAAAAAAGUAAGGAGUAGUACUAGCUAUUCAUGCAUUUAGAAAAAAAAAAGGUUGCUCCUAACAUUAUAUAAAUGACUGGUGUAUUGCUAUAUUUGUGUAUCUAUAUAUGUUUGUCUAACGAGCAAAGCUGCAGCAAGCAGGGGAGUGGAAACCUAUAAAAGAUAAUUCUACAAUGUGUUUGCUUAAGCUUAAAUGAAAUUUGACUAUUAAAGAUCAAAUGUAUUUGACUCUAAGUACACAUUUAGCUUCCGGUUUGCUGUGAAGGGUGUAUUCACUGAUUAAGAAUGAAUUUUGAUAAUUUAUGAAGCAAAUAAUAAAGCAAUCAAAUAUUGUAUUAUCAGGUAUUUCUUUUUCUUGAUGUUAUGAGUUUUAAAGCAAUGACUGUAAUAUUGAUUUGCGUUAUUGGUCUUUGCCUGAAGUGACAAUUAUGAAAUAAACGUCCUGUCAAAAUUUGUGGUUUCAUUUUUUAUUCAACUUGCUACCAUGCAUCUAAGGUAUGAAUCAUGAACAUUAGUACUUCUUGAAUGGUAAAAACUGGAUACGAGUUGUUGAGGAAUAAUAUUGUUUGAUAGAACAAGAAAUUUAUUGUUGUUGACUGUGUCAUUAAAUCAAGUCCUUUUUAUUUUCUUCACACAAAUUCUAUUAAGAAAGCAUUUCAAUUGUGCCUCCAAAGAUAAUUUUCAAAAUUUCUAGAAACCACCCAAACUUUUGUGCAUAUACCCAUUUAAUCAAAUUGGAAUGUUGUAUAUACCCAUUUAACCAAAUUGGAAUGUAUCUACUCAACCUUUUGUUUUUAAGCUAUGAUUCCACUGGUUUAGCAGAUGACAUCUGAACAUAUGUCCCCAAAUAAAUGGUAUUGUGAUCAUCUUUUUCACAGGUUAGAUACUAACCAUUUCAUACUGAGUGUUUUGGCUUCACUUCCCCCCAAAUAUAUACUUUGAAUCCUAUGAUAGAAACACCCUCAAAUGAUGGUACAGACGCAACAGGUGCAAUUAUCUCCCCAAAGGUAAAACCGUAAAAGUAUCUCCUCUGUUAAAAUUUGAGAGUUUUGGAACUUGCAGAUCUUAUCAACAAGGAAGCUGGCACCAUCCAAACCAGGUAAUAUUUUUCUUGGUACUAAAAUGUACAAAUAAUCUCGGAACUUCAGAGACGCUGAUUCUAACUUUCUGAGAUGUGUUCAACCAUGUGGAUUGCUUAUCAACUUCAAACUUAUAAUGCUUAGUGCAGUAUCAUACUAUGUAACAACCUGGAAGUGAAAUUCUACCUACAUUUAGGUUGUGUCCUGUGCAAGCAUGAUAAUAAUAAUAAUAAUUAUUAGUCAACUUUAGAAAGCACCUACUUUAAAUUUAAUAUUUUGUUCGCCCAAUGGUCUAAUGGUGCCAUUAUAAGUUUCAUGAUAAACUAAUGGUUGAUUUCACGUAGAUUCAGAAUUUAACUACUCCCUUUGUUUCAGUUUAUAAGACUUUUUAACAUUGCCCACAUUCAUAUAUAUGUUAAUGAAUCUAGACAUAUAUAUCUAGAUUCAUUAACAUAUAUAUGAAUGUGGGCAAUGCUAGAAAGUCUUAUAAUAUGAAACGGAGGAAGUAAUUGUUUGUCCAGUCCUUUUCAAAGUCAUAAAUUAAAUUAUUGUGUAUUUUAUGAGAAAAUAUUGUGGAAUAAGCAUGUACUAGCCACUGGAUGAGAUGACUGAACUUUGGAAACCAAAAGAUCUUCUACAUGGUACUUGAACCUUACUUGCAAAUAUAGGGCUUAUAUGUAUACUGGGCUAAGUCUUUUGCCCAGCCAGCUCGCCUAUGGAAACGGCGAAAGGAACCAGAAGGUUUGCUCCUAUGUUGCAGUUGUGAUUAAUGCCAAGCCCUCUGCACCUGCCAUGUUCCAGGUUGUGAUUUCAUAGAAACCAGAAGGUUUCCCAUUAAUUUUGAGAUGCAUGGAUCAUAUUGUACUCUUAUCCGGUUAUGAGAUGCAGAUCUAACAAUAGCGCUGUGGCAAGCAUGGAACAAGAUGGAGCCUGAAGCAAAAUUCUCAAAACACCAUUUGAAGUCAAUUUCAGGGCCAUCUUUUUAUGCGAACUUGGAGCAAGCUUCUAAAGAUGCGAGACAUGAAAAUACAAGAAAAGUUGGAUACCCUGAUUGAGGGAAAGGACAAUUUCAUGAUAUUUCUAUAUGUCUAAUAAAAACAUAGUUCAUCAUAUGAUAUAUUACGACCCAUAAAUAUAGAGCUUUUCUACAGGUAUCUAAAGUCGUGCAAUGCACGACCAAAUGGCUAGUUUGUCUUGAAAUUCACAUAGGUUUUCAAAUGUUCAUAUAUUUAAACUGUUGGCUAUUUCAAUUUUUAAGCUAAUUAAUAUUUUGGCCUUUGGUUAGAAACAUCUAGGCCGAAGAAGACUUGUAAUCCUAGUAAGCCUAUUUGUCUCAGUUAUAGGUUGUACAAUAUUUUUUGAUUAAUUAUUUUAUUCAGAAAUUAUAGUGAUUGAGUUAUUUUAA